UACAGAGGUCUCAAGCGUUGUUCGGAUUCAUUGGGCGUAAAGGGUGCGUAGGCGGCGCGGUAAGUCGGAUGUGAAAUCUCGGAGCUUAACUCCGAAACUGCAUUCGAUACUGCCGUGCUUGAGGACUGGAGAGGAGACUGGAAUUUACGGUGUAGCGGUGAAAUGCGUAGAUAUCGUAAGGAAGACCAGUGGCGAAGGCGGGUCUCUGGACAGUGCCUGACACUGAGACACGAAGGCUAGGGGAGCAAACGGG
rnacentral:rRNA from 1 species